rnacentral:rRNA from 1 species
AUUGAACGCUGGCGGCAGGCCUAACACAUGCAAGUCGAGCGAGCGGCGGACGGGUGAGUAAUGUAUGGGGACUGCCCGAUAGAGGGGGAUAACUACUGGAAACGGUGGCUAAUACCGCAUACUAUCGGAUAACCCAUAUGGGAUUAGCUCGUAGGUAGGGUAACGGCUAUCCUAGGCGACGAACCCUAGCUGGUCUUAGAGGAUGAUCAGCCACACUGGGACUGAAACACGGCCCAGACUCCUACGGAGGCAGCAGUGGGGAAUAUUGCACAAUGGGCGCAAGCCUGAUGCAGCCAUGCCGCGUGUAUGAAGAAGGCCUUAGGGUUGUAAAGUACUUGCAGCGGGGAGGCGUUACCCGCAGAAGAAGCACCGGCUAACUCCGUGCCAACCGCCGCGGUAAUAC